rnacentral:lncRNA from 1 species
GGGUAACUCGACCUCGAGAGUGGGGGGCAUCUGUUGUGGAUCUAUACCUCAGCCUCAGCUUUGACAUCCUCAGAUCCGGUCGAGCUAUAGGUGAUGGAUGCUUGACAGAUAUACAAAUGUGACAGAGAGACUGUCGGACACCCCAUCAGAGCGGUUCUCAACUCUUCGAUCUCGGACGGUCUAUUUUAGAUCGUCUUUGGCCGACCUAUUCCAGAUCACUUGAAGAUCGAUACGCACUCUAUAGUCUCUAUA